UAGCGGCGAGCGAACGGGGAUCAGGCCAAACCAAGCGACUUCGGUCGGUUGGGGUUGUAGGGCUGACAUACGUGAUCCGUGAUUAGAUAGUCGAACCUGUGUGGAAUAGCAGGCCAUAGAGGGUGAGAGCCCCGUAGACGAAAUCGAACAGCGGCGCAGUCAGUUCCUGAGUACCGCAGGGCACGUGAAACCCGGCGGGAAUCUGGGGGGACCAUCCUCCAAGCCUAAGUACUCCUUAUCGACCGAUAGUGAACAAGUACCGUGAGGGAAAGGUGAAAAGUACCCCGACGAGGGGAGUGAAACAGUUCCUGAAACCGGAUGCCUACAAACAGUUGGAGGGCGCAAGCCUGACAGCGUACCUUUUGUAUAAUGGGUCAGCGACUUAGUGUUGCGUGCAAGCUUAAGCCGUUAGGUGUAGGCGUAGCGAAAGCGAGUCUGAAUAGGGCGCCCUAGUUCGUUGGAUUAGACCCGAAACCGAGUGAUCUAGCCAUGGC
rnacentral:rRNA from 18 species